GAUCCUGGCUCAGGAUGAACGCUGGCGGCGUGCCUAACACAUGCAAGUCGAACGGAGCUGCUUUGAUGAAGUUUUCGGAUGGAUUUAAAACAGCUUAGUGGCGGACGGGUGAGUAACGCGUGGGUAACCUGCCUCACACUGGGGGGAUAACAGUUAGAAAUAGCUGCUAAUACCGCAUAAGCGCACGGUUCCGCAUGGAACAGUGUGAAAAACUCCGGUGGUGUGAGAUGGACCCGCGU
rnacentral:rRNA from 1 species